UGCAGUUGUUUGAUUCCCAAGGAAUUGCAACAGACUUACAGAUUCUUCCCCAGCACAAAGAGUGGGAGGGAGCACCCACCAAGAAGUUAUUCUUACAUUUUCUGCCACCUCCUGUCCUGCCCCAGCCAAUUAAACAGCUGUGUUACAGACUGUUAAAAAGUGACUGUGUUCUGCCCCAGAAGAAGUGACAUUCAGAGAGCUGCAUUCCUAUUCUUUGCAGAGGCAAAAUCACUCAUGAAUCUUAAGCAGCUUUUGCGCAGAAUCAGUUCAACUAAUGAAAAAACAGAGAAGAUUGCUAUAAUCUCUUGAAUCUAAGGAGUAAUAUAGAGCAGUGAUUCCAUCAGGAUAAGGAAGAAAGAAAGACAUGAGAAAGAUGGCCAGGCAAGAUGAGUGAUGGUGCUUCUACCAAUACUUCAUAGACUUCCUGUGGAGAUGGAAGCCACACCAGCAAGCCGGCUCUCCUGUACUGGCCUGAGUCAGAGGAGGGACUCAGCACAGGUGCAGUACCCCAUCUGUGAGGAUUUCCUGCAUAUGAAGCUUGAGUCUCUGCAUGUUACUACUCUGGGCCAUUACAAGGCACUAGCUUGGUCAGGAAUCUCUAAUCAAGCACUGCUUUGGGUGGAUGUUCCUUUACAAAUUACAAUGCUAGUCAAGGGAAUUAAAUCAAGGAAUCUCUUAUUUACUCCUAUGGCUUCUCUUGUCUAGUUAAGCUUUGAUGGCUUAAAAGCUAGGACACUUCCUUUGAGUUUGUACAGAUCCAGCACCAGAGAUCUUCAAUUUUAGUGGCAGCUGCUAAGCACCACUGCAAUACAUGGUAAUUAAUACAAUUGUGUAUACCAAAGAAACCAGGUGACUGACAGGCAUUGCAUACCUACAUUUGAAAAGAUUAGUCCUUUAGUCUUCUUUCUGCUUAUCAAUACAUAUAUAAGUGUAAUAUUUGUGUCCCUCAGUAAAACUUUAGUGACUGUGCUCCAAAAAAUAACAAAAAAAAAAAAAGCUUGAGAUCUGGAGAGAAUGGGAGAACUGUUUCUAAAUUGUGUAUUUCUUAGGAUUUUAAAAUUCCAUCUUCCGUUUAAAAAAAAAAAUGAAAAAAUAUGGUAGGCUUUUAUUACUGCUCAAGUCUCUUGAAAACAAGCAAACAAAAAAACUCACUGAAAGCAGAAGAACUGGAGAUCAGCCAUUGCACAAACAAUUAAAAAAAAAAAAGGCAAAAAGGAAAAGACAUAUUCCAUAUCCUUGGAACAAAUUUCUGAUUAACAUUCCCCAGUUAGCACUCUUCUUCCUGCCAAGUAUCUUUUCGUUUAUAUUGUCUUUUUUGCCCACUAUUAAUCUAGUAGUUAGGAUCCAGUUCUGAGCGAUGCUUCUUCACUAAUAGAAGUUCUUUCCGGGGAUGAAAUCCUGAUUAGUAAAAGCAGUUGCAACUCUGCAGUAGUUCACUAUUGCCCUAAAGGAGGAUCCUUAUUCUAUAGCCCUGUAGGGAACUAAAAUAUUUAUGUUUCUAGUGCAAAUAACAUUCAUGGCUUUCAUUCAUUUGUCCUUUCUCUGAGACAUCUGAAAAUCAUGGGUACUCUAUUACAUCCCAAGGGCAAAGCAUCAGAUUUAUUUUCAUUGGGGAAAUUAAGUUCUUAUUUCAUAUAUUUACUCCAAGAUGUCCAUACCCUACUGCCUUUCAUGUUUUGAAAAGCAGGAAAGGUGGUUUACGCUCUUAAUGCCUUCAUUUCUUCUCUCUCUGGGAACACAAUAUGCAUUUUGUCCUCAUUUCCUCUGGUAAACCUGGUACUGUAGAAACACUGUGUCAGGAAGAAGAACCUCAGCUGCCUAAGAGUAAGAACCUAGCUCAUAACACCAGCUAAGUGUAGCUGAAACAAAUCCCACUCCUAGUCCCUACUACUUUCUGGGUAGCUCAGAGCUACCUGUUAUAAGCUGCUCAUGCUGCGCCAGCAGCCUUGUUUCAGUCAAUGUAACACCUCACACAGUGAGACAUGACCCAGCUAGCAGUAGAACUGAUUUCCCUAUUCCUUAGAUCAAUGAAUUCUGCCAUUGAUUUUCUUUAGGAUCAAAACAUUUCCGUAUCUUUAGCAUAAUGAUAUAAUAUGUCCUUGCAGGUUCAAAGCAAAGGUCUUUGCAGUCCAACAGAUAAAUAACAGAGUGCUAGAAUUAGAGCUGGAACAGUAUUUACCCUGACUCUCCUAUACAUUUCCAGCAUCUAGAAACUACACUAUUUCCUGAACUUGAGCUGUAACUUCAUCACUCUAAAUAUUUAGGCAUUGUUUGGCCAAGUGUCUGCAGCUUUAUUUGAUUGUUGUUGUUGCUUUAAGUUUAUUACAUUUGGGUCUUUCAUAACUUCCAGUGGCAAUGAGUUCCAAAUUUCUGUUGUCUCUUGAAUACUGACAGUGCCUCUACUGAAUGCGCUGUCUAAUAAAAUGU